rnacentral:rRNA from 1 species
CCCUUAGAUGUCCGGGGCCGCACGCGCGCUACAAUGGAUGAAUCAACGCGUCAUCCUGGCCCGAAAGGGUUGGGGAACCGCUGAACCUCAUCCGUGGUUGGGAUUGGGGUUUGUAAUUAUUCCCCAUGAACUAGGAAUUCCCAGUAAGCGCGAGUCAUAAGCUCGCGUUGAUUACGUCCCUGCCCUUUGUACACACCGCCCGUCGCUACUACCGAUUGGAUGGUUCAGUGAGAUCCUCGGAUUGGUCACGGCACGGUGGCAACACUGCGUCGGUGUGCCGAGAAGACGAUCAAACUUGAUCAUCUAGAGGAAGUAAAAGUCGUAACA